rnacentral:rRNA from 1 species
GGAGUUAGCCGGUGCUUCUUAUGUGAGUGAUGUCCUUCCUGCCGGCUAUUAACCCGCAGGCCUUCUUCCUCACUGAAAGUGCUUUACAACCCGAAGGCCUUCUUCACACACGCGGCAUGGCUGGAUCAGGGUUGCCCCCAUUGUCCAAUAUUCCCCACUGCUGCCUCCCGUAGGAGUCUGGGCCGUGUCUCAGUCCCAGUGUGGCUGAUCAUCCUCUCAGACCAGCUACGGAUCGUCGCCUUGGUGAGCCGUUACCUCACCAACCAGCUAAUCCGACAUAGGCUCAUCCGAUAGCGCGAGGCCCGAAGGUCCCCCGCUUUCCCCCGUAGGGCGUAUGCGGUAUUAGCCUGGGUUUCCCCAGGUUAUCCCCCACUACCGGGCAGAUUCCUAUGCAUUACUCACCCGUCCGCCGCUCGCCACCAGGGAGCAAGCUCCCCGUGCUGCCGCUCGACUUGCAUGUGUUAGGCCUGCCGCCAGCGUUCAAUCUGAGCCAGAAUCGAACCCUGA